CAGCACAGCGAAGACCCAUGUGUGCUUUGUAGCUCCCCUGGUUAUUAAACUGUGCUACAUUAGUGUGGUCUGUAACCUCUGCAUUGGAGGAGCUAUAUUCUCCUCCACAUGUAUUCAGCAGACCAGUACAUUC
rnacentral:snoRNA from 1 species